rnacentral:rRNA from 1 species
GACGUAGGGCGCGAGCGUUGUCCGGAUUUAUUGGGCGUAAAGAGCUCGUAGGCGGCUUGUUGCGUCAGCUGUGAAAACCCGCAGCUCAACUGUGGGCUUGCAGCUGAUACGGGCAGGCUUGAGUUCGGUAGGGGAGACUGGAAUUCCUGGUGUAGCGGUGAAAUGCGCAGAUAUCAGGAAGAACACCCGUGGCUAAGGCGGCUCUCUAGUACGGUACUGACGCUGAGACGCGAAAGCGUGGGGAGCGAACAGG